UACGUAGGGGGCAAGCGUUAUCCGGAUUUACUGGGUGUAAAGGGAGCGUAGACGGCAGCGCAAGUCUGAAGUGAAAGCCCGUGGCUCAACCGCGGAACUGCUUUGGAAACUGUGCGGCUGGAGUGCUGGAGAGGUAAGCGGAAUUCCUGGUGUAGCGGUGAAAUGCGUAGAGAUCAGGAGGAACACCGGUGGCGAAGGCGGCUUACUGGACAGUAACUGACGUUGAGGCUCGAAAGCGUGGGGAGCAA
rnacentral:rRNA from 1 species